rnacentral:rRNA from 1 species
UAGUCCACGCCGUAAACGAUGGUCACUAGCUGUUCGGACUUCGGUCUGAGUGGCUAAGCGAAAGUGAUAAGUGACCCACCUGGGGAGUACGUUCGCAAGAAUGAAACUCAAAGGAAUUGACGGGGGCCCGCACAAGCGGUGGAGCAUGUGGUUUAAUUCGAUGAUACGCGAGGAACCUUACCAGGGCUUAAAUGUAGUAUGACAGGUUUAGAGAUAGACUUUUCUUCGGACAUAUUACAAGGUGCUGCAUGGUUGUCGUCAGCUCGUGCCGUGAGGUGUCAGGUUAAGUCCUAUAACGAGCGCAACCCCUAUCUUUAGUUGCCAGCACGUAAUGGUGGGGACUCUAGAGAGACUGCCUCCGCAAGGGAGCGAGGAAGGCGGGGACGACGUCAAAUCAUCAUGGCCUUUAUGCCUAGGGGCUACACACGUGCUACAAUGGCGGGGUACAGA